GACGAACGCUGGCGGCGUGCCUAAUACAUGCAAGUAGAACGCAGUUGCGAACGGGUGAGUAACGCGUAGGUAACUGCCUGGUAGCGGGGGAUAACUAUUGGCAACGAUAGCUAAUACCGCAUACUACCAGAUGGACCAGCGUUGUAUUAGAUAGUUGGUGGGGUCCCUGCUCACCAAGGCAACGAUACAUAGCCGACCUGAGAGGUGGAUCUGCCACACUGGGACUGAGAAACGGCCCAGAUGCCUACGGGAUGCAGCCGUAGGUAAUCUUCGGCAAUGGACGGAAGUCUGACCGAGCAACGCCGCGUGAGUGAAGAUGGUUUUCGGAUCGUAAAGCUCUGUUGUAAGAGAAGCGGUAUCUUACCAGAAAGGGACGGCUAACUACGUGCCAGCAGCCGCGGUAAUAC
rnacentral:rRNA from 1 species